rnacentral:rRNA from 1 species
GACGAACGCUGGCGGCGUGCCUAAUACAUGCAAGUCGAGCGCAGGAAACUGACGGAACUCUUCGGAGGGAAGGCAGUGGAAUGAGCGGCGGACGGGUAAGUAACACGUAAGGAACCUGCCUCACGGAUUGGGAUAACUCCGAGAAAUCGGCGCUAAUACCGGAUAGUUUAUCGGACCGCAUGGUCCGUUGAUGAAAGGUGCUCCGGCGGCACCUUUAGGUGGCCUUGAGGUGCAUUAGCUAGUUGGUGGGGUAACGGCCCAACAAGGCGACGAUGCAUAGCCGACCUGGGAGGGUGAUCGGCCAGACUGGGACUGAGACACGGCCCAGACUCCUACGGGAGGCAGCAGUAGGGAAUCUUCCACAAUGGACGAGAGUCUGAUGGAGCAACGCCGCGUGAGGGAUGAAGGUUUUCGGAUCGUAAAACUCUGUUGUAAGGGAAGAACACGUACGAGAGGGAAUGCUCGUACCUUGACGGUACCUUACGAGAAAGCCACGGCUAACUACGUGCCAGCCGCCGCCGUAA